rnacentral:lncRNA from 1 species
GCACAAUUCAAAAAGAGAACGGGGCCCAUUGGAACAGAGUCAUAUUGAUGCUAUUCAACCUUAAAGCAACCAAACAGAACACUAAAGGUUUUAUAUAAAGGGAAAAGGUAUUUGCCAGUGUCACAUAUGUUUCAACAUGUGUGCAUAGCCUGAAUUAGUCCAACCACUUCCUAAUCUAAGCUGGAUCCCAGCUUCUCUUCUCUUUUCCACUCCCCGAAGUGGAGGAGGUCAGUCCUGUGGACCGUGGUCCAGGAAGCCCAGAUGUGUCUGAAAACAAGCCUUGCUUGCCUUUUUGCCUCUAAAUUUCCUUUCUGCACUGAAGACCCGCUGUGAAUACAGACAUAUGUUUUUAAAGAGACACAGUUUUGUCUUGCUGAUCGCAAUGUAAUUAGAAAGCUAUUUGGCACAUACAGGAACUUCUGUACUAAUUUGGCACUAUCCCAUCCUGCUACUGGCAGCAUUGGUUUUGCUCCCCGUUGGCGAGUCUCCUAGAUGUCUUACAGCUCCUGGAAACAUCAGCCAUGCCUAUUCAGGGAAUAAGUCUGGCAGGAUGCUGACACCUCGUGCAGCACAUGCAGCAGCAAUGUGGCUGUGUGAUGUUGGCUCAUUAUCAGACUCCACCAUGAUGUCUUCUGAUGGGGAAAGGACUCAUCCAGAUCGUGAGUUAUGAUGUUUCAGAUCUCAGGCACCCUUGUUGAUGACCCAUGGGUAUGUGAGUCGCUCUAACAUGGCAGUCUCCAGCAGUCCCCUAUCACUUAAGCCAGUAAUGAGCAGUGCUGCUUCUGAUGUGGAGGUCAUAACCUUUACAGAAAUGUAAACCGAAAAACCAAAC